AUUGUGCAUAUGGGGUUAAUUUUGUACUUUUAUAGAAAACUAAUACUGGUGCUAUGGUUGCCCGUGUUUCAUAUCUGCUUUUGGAAAAGCUUUUCUGAAUGUCUCUGCAUGCUGUCUGCCUCCCUUCAUGUCAAGUCUACACUGUUACACUUCCAAAAUAGAAAGGAAGGCACAAAACAAACAAGUAACGGAUCCAAUAGAAAAGCCUUUAUUAUGCCAUUGAAUAUCAAAACAAUAAAGACCAAAUUAAUAAAAAGUUUCAUUAAUUAAAAUGAAAAAUUCUGUUGUCAUGAAAGAGUUUUACAAGAGGGUUGGUGAGGUGUAUCCAAAUUAGGGACUGUAUGAAAAUUAUUAGGAGAGAAGUGGGGAAGAAGUUAUCCCCACGACCUGUAAACAGACUUUGAUGCAGAGUUUCCCUUAACUAUUUGGGUACCAGACUGCUCCCUUAUGUAAGUUCUAAGGAACACUAAAAUACACUUGACUACACCCCUCGAAUGGCCACUACAAUCCUGCUACAGAAGUGAGUCAAUGUCCGUAAGGCCAAAUAUUAAAAUUUCAAACUUUACAACUAAAUAAACAUAUUUACUGCCUGGUACAAAAAUUGGGUUUGGUCUCUAUAUCUAAAUUCCCUGUUCAUGACAACUGUACGGGGGUUGAAUUUGUAUAUAAUUCAACCGUUUCAUUAUUUCAAGGCUUGAAAUUAUGCAUAAUUAAGGGAGUGGCUGCUUUGAAUGACAGGCGGCUGUUUUCAGUAACCAUUCAACACUCCAAAUAUUUUUCGAGAGCCGGUGGAGAUUGCUAAAACGGCGACGGCCAGAUCUGACCACACUUUGAGCUUCACAGCGGCUCUUCAGAAACUUAUGGGUGUAGUCAUGUACACUAUUGCUUUUGAAUUAUACAGUCUGGUUGUACCACUAUAACACUGUUACAUUAUUUGAGACAUUACAGAGGAGGCCUUAGCACUUUUUUCCAAAGUCCAGUAGAGGACAGCCUCCACACUAAUAAUUUUUAUACAGUCCCUUAAUGUUUAAAAUUUGCUGUCAUUUCUGAAAGAUUAUUAUCUAAGCUUUGCUUCACACAGUAGUCUCUCUGACCACAUGGUGGCAAUAUAUAGCUUUAAGGCACACACACUUUGCUUUCAGUCCCAAGAAGAGCAAUUUGAGCCCCCACACCCUUAACAACUGGUGGGACAGAUGCAGCACACAGUCAACCUAUUGUUUUCCCAAUGAUUACAUGUCAUCUCUAGGUUUAAAAAAAGCCCAAACUUUUGGCUGAUCGUUGCAGCUCUCUGUGUAAAUAUGGACUGUAAACUCCUCUUCAACAGGCAAAGUUCAGUUUGAGCAGACAAAUGUGUUGCAGAAUGACGCACUGACGGUUGUGUUUUUAGAGAAAAUUUAAAGCAGCUUUGACUAAAUGAGGUGUUAGCUCGACAUUUGGGGUUUGUGGCUGCAGCAGAAGGUUGACGAGCUACCAUUUCCAAAGCUGCUGCCAGGACGGAGCCUGUAUCUGCUGCUUGUGAUUGUGGCCUCCCUCGUAAAAAUGCCCAACCUCCACAGAGAAACAUGCUUUACCCUUUCCACUAUUCCCCCCUCCAUCUUUACAAUCAUCUUCAAAGCUGGGGAGGAAACAUCUGCCCUCUGUCACCUCACUCCACCCCCUCACUUCACAGACAGACUGAGGGAGGGGGGGAGACAAAGAAGACUAAAUAAAUACACUAUAGAGGAUAUUAGAGGAGGGAAAUAAACAUAUUUUUUAUUUACAAAAAUGAGCCACUGAGAUGGAGCAGAAGGGAAAAAAUGGAGAGAGAGGAAACUCUAAUUCAUUCAAUCUGAUCCCCCUCUCACUCUGUGUAAGCCUUUGUAUACAUAUUAACUAGAUGUGGACAUAUGGUCUCUAAUGGAGUCUGAUAUAAACAGUGAGCUUCAUAAGAGUCCA
rnacentral:lncRNA from 15 species